ensembl:misc_RNA 7SK 7SK RNA
GGAUGUGAGGUUGAUCGGCUGAUCUGGCUGUGACAUCUAUCACUCCAUUGAUGAUUUUCAGGGUUGAUUUGGCUGAUCUGACUGGGUAAGUGGGUGUUCCCUUCCUCUCUCACCACUCCAUGUGUGUCACUCCCAAAGCUGCGUGCUCGGUCAAAGAGGACCACUAUCCCUGGUAGAGAAGGACCAUUCGUUGGCCAAGAGUAUACCAGUGGCUACACCUCUCUGCUAGAACCGCCAAACAAGCUCCCAAAGUAGCCAAAAUCUACUGGAGAGCAGAAAGAGGGACGAAUCUGCAGAAACCAAAGGUGGAAACUGAAGUCAGAUCC